UCCCAGGGCCCGGCCCCGCGCGGAGCUGCGGUAAACAGGACCUUCUGCCGGACUCGCCCCCUCGCCUCUCGGGGUGGGGGAGAGGUGGCUUAACCCUUCCUGGGAGGACGCCCGCCGCGCGCGGGCUCCAUUCCACCCAGGCCCGGGCGGAUUCGCGAGGUGCUUCCGGCCUGAGGCUUAGACCUGGACGUCCAAGCCUGGGGAACGGCGGCCGCGUGCCCGGCCCCGCUUACUCUAGGCAGUUAACACACUCUCGGCACCGGGCCGGGGCCGGGGGCACCUCGGGCAGUGAGUCAGGCACCACCCUUGCCCCAGGCAGCUUGCCGUCGGGCCGGGGUAAUGACAGUCAUGAGACCGGCGAUGCAGAAUACAGGACAGUCAGGCCAGUGAAUCCAACUCUUCUGUGUGGACUUCUGUGCACAGGAUGAAAGGCACCUACCUCUUGCUUCUGAGAGACUUCCCUGCCUACUUUCUGGCCCAACGAGGCAAUCUCUUCAGAGUCAGGAGAAGGAGUGAGGCUGAUCUUGAACUCCUAGUUUUGAGAGAUCUUCCUGCUCUGUCUGGCCUCCCAAUGUUCUAGGAUUACAGGUGUGUGAGCCAUGGUGCACAGCCGCCCAGGUGUUUUUGGUGGAGGUGGCUCAAGUCCCCACCAGAGACACACUGGUUUAGAGCCUGCUCAGGAGGAACAAAGACGUUGAAGCUGCAGCAGAGACAGAGUCUUGCUAUAUUGCCCCGGCUGGUCUGAAACUCCUGUGCUCAAGCAAUCCUCCCACUUUGGUCUCCCAAUGUGCUGAGAAUACAGAUGUGGGCCACCAUGCCUGGCUGACACUUGGCAAUGUUUGAAGAUAUUUUAUUGUCAUAAUUGGGAAAGGGAAGUGCUAUGGUCUGAACGUGUCCGCCUCCAAAAUUCAUAUGUUGAAAUCCUAACGCCCAAAGUGAUGGAAGUCCCCUGCAUCCCGCAACAUUUCUUGGCGAGCCAGCCAGGAGGAGUGGAGACGGCAGAUCUACUGUCUCCUUUCCCUAUGGGGCUGGAGCCCCGGGCCUGGGGAGACCUGUGACCCCAGGUGCCACCUGGAGAACUUCAGCCUAGAGGGGUGAAAUCAGCUCUCCUGUGACCCAGCACCCCUACCCAGCAGCACAACAGAACCUGAGAGGGGCUACAGGACAAUUCCAGAAACAGCGUGCUUCAGGAACUGCGUUGGCUAAAACCGGCAGCUCAGGACAAGUGGACCAGUCAGCAGGACCCAGAUCACCCAACCUGGUUGAUCCUGAGAUGAGACCAAGCUGCUGCUAAAGAUGACUGCCCUGCUCUGGUCACUCCGGAAGCUGACUACUCUACCCACGGCUGAAGCUUGAGGACUCAUCAAGCAAGUAAAUGUGGUUAGAAAUCUUAGAGCUAGUAGCUUUCCUUGUAAUACUAACUGUUUUCCUGUUGUUCUGUCGCUGUGCCCAAUCUCCUCCCCCAGGUAAAGACCUCUUCUAUCCUUGCUGAAUAUAAAUAUGCUGUACAUUGUUUUGCUGUUGUUACCCCCCCUAACUAUGCUAGAAGAAGCACCUAUAGAAGGAUGUCCCCACUGUACACAUACUACCUGGUCAGGGAACAGUAUAACUAAAACUCUAUUGUGCCAUACUUAUUAUGAGUGUACAAGGACUCGCUUAGGAACUUGUAUUUAUAAUCAGACCUCCUACUCAAUUUGUGACCCAGGAAAUAACCAACCUUAUGUAUGUUAUGACACCAAGUUUUCACCUGGUAAAUGGUUUGAAAUCCAUGCAGGGUCAAAGGACUGUUCCCUCUUAAACCAAACCAAGGUCCCUCCCUUUUACCUAGGGCCUAUUUCUCUAUAUUUUGAUGCUUGUCAGGUAGCAUACCUAGACUCACCCGUCUGUCGUAACCUACCUUUAAAAAGAGACUAUAAAAAUGACUACAAAUAUGUAUGCAAGUCACCUCGUCCCCCUGGGACCCCAGAAAAAGAUUGUCAGUAUUGCAUAUCGUGGCACCCUAGCACACAACAAAGGCCAAUUAUGCUUACCAAAAUGAUGGUAAAACCAGAUUGUAAAACAAAAACCUGUGAUCCUAUAAAUUUCACCAUUCUAAGGCCAAACCUACCCAUGUGGACUGCAGGUUACCCCACACAUGUCUACAUACACACAUACCCAGCAACCUACCUAUAUGUUAUCAAAAAGGAAACCCGGACCCAUCUGGCCCAGCAACAAUUCUGAGUCUUUAAAUCAUUCUAUAAGCAUGUAGACUAAAAGUUACCAGAGCCUCCUCCUUUAACCAAAAACCUGUUUGCUCAGCUGGCUGAAAACAUUGCUGGCAGCCUAGGCAUUUCCUCAUGUUAUGUUUGUGGAGGAACUAACAUGGGAGACCAAUGGCCUUAGGAAGCAAAAAAGUUAAUGCCACAAAAUUAUUUUACUCUGACCCUGAACUGACACCCAUAAGUUCAAGCAUCUGGCUCCUAAAAACUUCUAUUACAGAAAGAUACUCUGUUGCUCACUGGGGAAAGGCUUUUACAGACCCAGUAGGAGAACUAACCUGCUUAGGACAGCAAUAUUAUAAUGAAACACUACGGAAAACUUUGUGGCAGGGCAAAGAUAACUCCAAAUCACCUCAUCCAAAUCCAUUCUCCCAUUUCUCUUCUCUAAACCAUACCUAGUAUCGGCAUAAAGCUCCAAAUACCUGGCAAGCACCCUCUGGUCUCCGCUGGAUCUGUGGGCCAUGGGCCUACCAACAGUUGCCAGCCAAAUGGACAGGGGCUUGUGUACUUGGAACAAUUAGGCCAUCUUUCUUCUUACUCCCACUGCAACAAGGAAAAACUUUAGGGUGUCCUGUCUAUAAUAAAAUUUUAAACAAAACACAAAAGAAAUAGAGACAUAAAAAAAGACACAAAAAUAGAAAAUUAAAAAGACACAGAUUGGCUCCCUGAAAGAAUAAUUCAGUACUAUGGGCCAGCUAGGCACAAGAUGGGUCGUUGGGAUACCGUACCCCAAUUUACAUGCUUAACCACAUCACAAGGUUGCAGGCAGUACUUAAAAUCAUCACUAAUGAAACAGCAAACGCAUUGGAUUUACUGCCCAGCAAGCCACAAAAAUAAAAAAUGCCAUCUACCAAAAGAGUUUAGCUUUAAACUACCUCCUAGCCCAGGAAGGAGAAGUAUGAAAAAAGUUUAAUCUAACUAAUUACUGCCUAAAAAUUAAUAACAACGGGAAAGCUAUGAUGAAAAUAACUGCAAAAACAAAAAAAUUAGCCCAUGUUCCAGUCCAAACUUGGAAGGGGUGGACUUCUAAUUCCUUCUUUGAAGGCUGGUUUUCUGUCUUCGGUGGAUUCAAAACCUUAAUAGGAGUAGUUCUAGCCAUACUAGGAAUUUGUUUAAUACUCCCUUGCCUCUUACCCCUCCUUAUUAAAAGCAUCCAAUCAACUAUAAAAGCCAUUGUAACUAGGCAAACUACCACUCAGCUAAUGGCUCUGUGAAUAUCAGCCUGUGCCUAAAAAAGAAGAUCUGCUCUUUCAUAAAAAAUCAAAUAAUAGGGAUGCUUUCUAUUAAAAUCUUGUUUAUAAAAAAAGCAUCAAAGGGGAAACUGAGGCAGAAAUUUAAGGAAAAAUAAAUACUGCAUUUAUUCACUCCAAGAAAAGUAAGGGUUAAGUAAGAAACACAAGUUUUCCUCUACUGCAAGCAAGGCUGUAGACAGGUUGUAGUGACCUAGCCUGCAAAAAUGAGCUCCAGACACCCCUGAGCAAGGUUAAAAGAAAAAAAACAAAUUCCUUUACUGUCUCUCCUGUACUGAACUAUUAGUUAUGACUAUGUUUGCCAAUGCUUAUAUUUAGUAAAAUUUAUAAAUUCCUGUUUUUCUUUCAACGUAGCUGGAAGGUCACUAGCUAUACAAGGCCACAAGUUAUGCCAAGUCAACAGUUAUGCCAUAAAUUACAUGACUUGUAAUUUAUGUAAUUACCGCCUUUGUUUUGCUCUUGUAUACUAGCCUAUAUAAGCUAAACUCUGUCUUUGUUUGGGGCUCAGGUUUUUAAAUGUGAAUCCACUGAGCCAGUGCGUACCUUAAAAUAAAUAUCCUCCU
ensembl:lncRNA novel transcript